GACGAAUGCUGGCGGCGUGCCUAAUACAUGCAAGUAGAACGCUGAAGGAGGAGCUUGCUCCUCUGGAUGAGUUGCGAACGGGUGAGUAACGCGUAGGUAACCUGCCUGUAGCGGGGGAUAACUAUUGGAAACGAUAGCUAAUACCGCAUAACAGUAGAUAUUGCAUGAUAUCUGCUUAAAAGGUGCAAUUGCAUCACUACCAGAUGGACCUGCGUUGUAUUAGCUAGUUGGUAGGGUAACGGCUCACCAAGGCGACGAUACAUAGCCGACCUGAGGGGGUGAUCGGCCACACUGGGACUGAGACACGGCCCAGACUCCUACGGGAGGCAGCAGUAGGGAAUCUUCGGCAAUGGACGGAAGUCUGACCGAGCAACGCCGCGUGAGUGAAGAAGGUUUUCGGAUCGUAAAGCUCUGUUGUAAGAGAAGAACGAGUGUGAGAGUGGAAAGUUCACACUGUGACGGUAUCUUACCAGAAAGGGACGGCUAACUACGUGC
rnacentral:rRNA from 1 species